CCUACGGGGCGCAGCAGUGAGGAAUAUUGGUCAAUGGCCGGAAGGCUGAACCAGCCAAGUCGCGUGAGGGAAUAAGGCCCUAUGGGUCGUAAACCUCUUUUGUCAGGGAGCAAAGGCGUCCACGAGUGGACGAAAGGAGAGUACCUGAAGAAAAAGCUCCGGCUAACUACGUGCCAGCAGCCGCGGUAAUACGUAGGGAGCGAGCGUUGUCCGGAAUUACUGGGUGUAAAGGGAGCGUAGGAGGGACGGCAAGCCAGAUGUGAAAACUGAGGG
rnacentral:rRNA from 1 species